GCUGGGGUGGGGGGCGUGUGGAGCGCAUCGCUUCCUUUCCGGGAAGAGUGGGGAGUGCUGCAACGGUGCCUGGGGAAGGCGUUUAGGGGCUUUGCCUUCAGUGGAGGCCUGUGAGCUCCAGACAUGCUUGCCACCAGCACUGGAGCAGCUUGGCCAGAGGCAUUGCCAAAUCCCUGUGGAGUUAGAGAUCGCAGCCCAUGGACAGCCCCGCAGAUGAUAUCGAGGUCAGAAUGGGGCCAGAAGCCGCAUGCUGACCGGUGGCUUCAGUGGUCCUGGGACUGUCUUUCGAGGCAGGUGAUGGUGCGGCAGGACCUUGGGCACGUACAGCCGGCAUCUCAGCCCAGCCUGCCAUGUGGGGAGGGGACAGAGCUGCUGCCUGGGGCCCACCUGGCAGAUGUCGUCCUCAGUCUUCAGUGAGAGGGGAGGUCUUUGCUCAGAGCGGACUGAGUGUAGAGACAAGCUGGAGGCCCAGCGGACUCUGCCGUGUGGCCAACGGUCUGGAAAGAAGAGAUAGAGCCUGAGGGGCCUGAGCUUGAGGGAGGCAGCUCUUCCCUGGCCAGUCUGCGCUCCUCCCCAGGCCUCUUCGGCUCUAAGCCACACUGCUCUGUGGGGGGCGCCCCCUCCCAUGCCCAGUCCCCUCGCCCCAGGUCUGCUUGGCUUCUGGACCCUUCCUCUCACGACCUAAGUCUUGGUGUUGUUCUAGAUAAUUGGGUCUCGUUUUCCCCUGGCCAGGAAACAGCUGCUCAGACGCUGUCCUGCCCUCCUAGGUGCUCGUCACAUUCAGUGGACAGGGGGCUGGGGUACUUAGUCCCUAGAAUGGAUGGGACAGACCCCAAAAACUGCCCCAUUCAAAACGCUGAUAGGGCCGCUCACUGAGAAAGUCGGGACUAGGGAAGGCAGGCGGGACGACGGCCUCCUGAGUGGGCACCUGCCCUGGGGCUUGUGCUCGGCCUGGAGGCACUGGGAGAGGCCGGGGCACUGACAUCCGCCAAGUGAGGUGAGCCAGGUGCAGGCCCCGUUUCCAACUCUGCAGCUGAGAUCAUCAUCCCCAUUCUGUGGAUGAGG